GUAUAUGUUGCAAUGCUUUCCUUCAGAAACUGAGAAAGAAAUGAUUGUUUUUUCUAUUUAGUUUCUAGAAUAAAUCAAGUUGCCGUGUUUUGCUUCUCCAAUAUUUACAGAGGAUAAAGGGUAUGCACUAAAACUUAAUAUGAACCCAUGUGAAUAUUUGCAUAAUAUGUAUUCAGACCAUUCCCGAAUUAACAAUGUCUGAUUUCAAAUGGCUCAUAUAUACAAUUGCCAAACACUUUUGAUUUCACUGCUGCUAGAAACUUCCCUGAAUCCUGUUACUUUUCUCAUCUCUUCUGUAGCACUGGAUUUUUGGAACCCCUGUUAUGUCAGAGGGGUACACCAUGGAGAUUCCUGAUAUUCUUAAAAUGUUUCACUGUAAGAGAUGUCUUCCUUGGUUACCAAGUUGGAACAGAAGAACUGAGUUGCUGGUCAAUCAGGAUUUUAUUGAAAGCCUAUUAUAUGGGAAAGAAAAACAAAACACUAGCCGGGAGUAUUAAUUGAUGAGUGCAGAAGAUACUCAGUGCCUCGGAACCUGGAGGGCGCAAUUUAAUUCUCCUGCUGCUGUUCAUAAUCUGAGAAACUGAAGAACCGUUUUGUCAUCCCUACUACCUCCCUCAACUGUUGCUGCUGCUGCUGCUAAGUCGCUUCAGUCAUGUGUGACUCUGCAACUCCAUAGAAGCAGCCCAACAGGCUCCUCCAUCACUGGGAUUCUCCAGGCAAGAACACUGGAGUGGGUUGCCA